rnacentral:rRNA from 1 species
CUACCUACGGGGGGCGCAGUGGGGGAUAUUGGACAAUGGGGGGAACCCUGAUCCAGCGACGCCGCGUGAGUGAAGAAGUAUUUCGGUAUGUAAAGCUCUGUCAGCAGGGAAGAAAGCAAUGACGGUACCUGACCAAGAAGCCCCGGCUAACUACGUGCCAGCAGCCGCGGUAAUACGUAGGGGGCAAGCGUUAUCCGGAAUUACUGGGUGUAAAGGGAGCGUAGACGGCUGUGCAAGUCUGGAGUGAAAGUCCGGGGCUCAACCCCGGGACUGCAUUGGAAACUGUCCGGCUAGAGUGCAGGAGG